rnacentral:rRNA from 1 species
CAGCAGCCGCGGGAAUACGUAGGUGGCAAGCGUUGUCCGGAAUUAUUGGGUGUAAAGGGCUCGCAGGCGGUUUCUUAAGUCUGAUGUGAAAGCCCCCGGCUCAACCGGGGAGGGUCAUUGGAAACUGGGAAACUUGAGUGCAGAAGAGGAGAGUGGAAUUCCACGUGUAGCGGUGAAAUGCGUAGAGAUGUGGAGGAACACCAGUGGCGAAGGCGACUCUCUGGUCUGUAACUGACGCUGAGGAGCGAAAGCGUGGGGAGCGAACAGGAUUAGAUACCCGGGUAGUCCCUGUCUCUUAUAC